CAAAAGCCGAGGAUGGCAGAAACGUAAUAGCAUUGUCAGAGGCAGCCUUCCCAUCUUCCAAAAAAACACCACUUCCUCUGUUUCUCAAAGUUAACGUAUUCAUUCUUAUUCCCCAGAGGUGAUGGCUUGGAGACAGCAAACAGCAUGUUAGUGUUGUCGCUUAUUGGGGGAAAUUGAACUAUAAUAUACACGAAUAACUAGAAGGUAUGUGAUAAAUGCUGAAAGAGGUGCAAAGAACAAAGUGGAGCUUCCUUGGAUCAGACAACUAGGUCACCGAGUCUAACGUCCUGCAACAAACCUCUCAGGUUGGCUGACUUCCAACUCCGCCGGUGCCAAAUGGUGUUAUCUCUCCCAAAUACCACAUUUCAUUGAUUUCAAGAUGAUUCUAAAUGUUAGAGGAUUUUCUGGGCUGAAGUAUCUUACUGUGCCAUUUCCAUUGGUUUCAUGUCCACACACUUGGAAGAAGACAUCUGGUUAGUUUAGGUCUCUUCCUACUGUCUCCUGGACUCUUGGAAUUAGGACCCUGUCAUGUAACUGUUUAAGAUAAACAGUUGUUGAACAUCUACUGUGUGCCACACACCAACCUAGAAGAUUCCAAAACAAGUAACAGCUGGAAUCUGUCUAGUGGAGAAGUCCGACAGUCCAGGUAAUGAGAAUGUGCCUCCUGUGACCCCCAUUCACCAGACUCACCUGGCUGAAAAUCACCAUCAGCUCUGUAUCAGAGCUGGGGAAAGUUGUGGAGCAAGAAAAGUCUCUGCAGUUCACUCUCCUUCUUGCCUUCUCAGUGACACCAUCUGUUACCUGGACCCUGACAUAAUCUUCUUCCUACAGCUGGCAAACCUUGGCUUACACCUUGAGAGGAAAUUAUUUUCAUAGGGACUUGGGGGUACCUACAUGGAAGGGCUCUUGCUUCCUCUGCAUGGCCACCUGGGUGAUCUCCUGCAUGUCCACAGUUUCACUGACCAUCUAUAAUCUGAGGAGUCCAAAACUGGUGUCAUCUGUCCACACCUCUGCUCUGACUUUAGCUUCAGAAAUCCACUGUAUGCCAGACAACCUCACCUAAACAUUCCACAGAUUCCUUAAACCCAACAUGUCCAAAAAU